rnacentral:rRNA from 1 species
UACAGAGGGUGCAAGCGUUGUUCGGAAUUAUUGGGCGUAAAGCGCGUGUAGGCGGCUAUGCAAGUCGGGUGUGAAAGCCCUCAGCUCAACUGAGGAAGUGCGCCCGAAACUGCGUGGCUUGAGUACCGGAGAGGAUGGCGGAAUUCCCCAAGUAGAGGUGAAAUUCGUAGAUAUGGGGGAGGAACACCGGUGGCGAAGGCGGCCAUCUGGACGGAUACUGACGCUGAGACGCGAAAGCGUGGGGAGCAACAGG